rnacentral:rRNA from 1 species
GAUGAACGCUGGCGGCGUGCCUAAUACAUGCAAGUCGAGCGAACGGAGGAGAAGCUUGCUUCUCUGAUGUUAGCGGCGGACGGGUGAGUAACACGUGGAUAACCUACCUAUAAGACUGGGAGAACUUCGGGAAACCGGAGCUAAUACCGGAUAAUAUUUUGAACCGCAGGGUGCAAAAGUGAAAGACGGUCUUGCUGUCACUUAUAGAUGGAUCCGCGCUGCAUUAGCUAGUUGGUAAGGUAACGGCUUACCAAGGCAACGAUGCAUAGCCGACCUGAGAGGGUGAUCGGCCACACUGGAACUGAGACACGGUCCAGACUCCUACGGGAGGCAGCAGUAGGGAAUCUUCCGCAAUGGGCGAAAGCCUGACGGAGCAACGCCGCGUGAGUGAUGAAGGUCUUCGGAUCGUAAAACUCUGUUAUUAGGGAAGAACAUAUGUGUAAGUAACUGUGCACAUCUUGACGGUACCUACUCAGAAAGCAACGGCUAACUACGUG